rnacentral:rRNA from 1 species
CCCUUAGAUGUCCUGGGCUGCACGCGCGCUACACUGAUGUGUCCAGUAAGCACCUAACCUAUUCCGAGAGGAGCGGGUAACCUUAGCAAAGCACAUCGUGAUGGGGAUAGAUUAUUGCAAUUAUUAGUCUUGAACGAAGAAUUCCUAGUAAGCACAAGUCAUCAGCUUGUGUUGAUUACGUCCCUGCCCUUUGUACACACCGCCCGUCGCUCCUACCGAUUGAAUGUUCCGGUGAGCUCUUCGGACUGCGCGGUCUGCAGUUUCUGCGUUCCGUGCGGAAAGUUGUGCAAACCUUAACAUUUAGAGGAAGGAGAAGUCGUAACA